GACGAACGCUGGCGGCGUGCCUAAUACAUGCAAGUAGAACGCUGAAGGAGGAGCUUGCUUCUCCGGAUGAGUUGCGAACGGGUGAGUAACGCGUAGGUAACCUGCCUGGUAGCGGGGGAUAACUAUUGGAAACGAUAGCUAAUACCGCAUAAGAGUAGAUGUUGCAUGACAUUUGCUUAAAAGGUGCAAUUGCAUCACUACCAGAUGGACCUGCGUUGUAUUAGCUAGUUGGUGGGGUAACGGCUUACCAAGGCGACGAUACAUAGCCGACCUGAGAGGGUGAUCGGCCACACUGGGACUGAGACACGGCCCAGACUCCUACGGGAGGCAGCAGUAGGGAAUCUUCGGCAAUGGACGGAAGUCUGACCGAGCAACGCCGCGUGAGUGAAGAAGGUUUUCGGAUCGUAAAGCUCUGGUGUAAGAGAAGAACGAGUGUGAGAGUGGAAAGUGCACACUGUGACGGUAUCUUACCAGAAAGGGACGGCUAACUACGUG
rnacentral:rRNA from 1 species